rnacentral:rRNA from 1 species
UGGGGAAUCUUGCACAAUGGAGGAAACUCUGAUGCAGCGACGCCGCGUGAGCGAUGAAGCCCUUCGGGGUGUAAAGCUCUUUCGACGGGGACGAUAAUGACGGUACCCGGAGAAGAAGCUGCGGCUAACUACGUGCCAGCAGCCGCGGUAAUACGUAGGCAGCAAGCGUUGUUCGGAAUUACUGGGCGUAAAGAGUGCGUAGGUGGUUGGUUAAGUUUGGUGUGAAAUCUCCCGGCUCAACUGGGAGGGUGCGCCGAAAACUGGCCGGCUAGAGUGUGGGAGAGGGACGUGGAAUUCCUGGUGUAGCGGUGAAAUGCGUAGAUAUCAGGAGGAACACCUGCGGUGUAGACGGCGUCCUGGACCAUUACUGACACUGAGGCACGAAAGCGUGGGGAGCAAACAGG